rnacentral:rRNA from 1 species
CAGCAGUAGCCACGGUAAUACAGAGGGUGCGAGCGUUAAUCGGAUUUACUGGGCGUAAAGCGUGCGUAGGCGGCUUCUUAAGUCGGAUGUGAAAUCCCUGAGCUUAACUUAGGAAUUGCAUUCGAUACUGGGAAGCUAGAGUAUGGGAGAGGAUGGUAGAAUUCCAGGUGUAGCGGUGAAAUGCGUAGAGAUCUGGAGGAAUACCGAUGGCGAAGGCAGCCAUCUGGCCUAAUACUGACGCUGAGGUACGAAAGCAUGGGGAGCAAACAGGAUUAGAUACCCCAGUAGUCCCUGUCUCUUAUAC